GAUGAACGCUGGCGGCGUGCUUAACACAUGCAAGUCGAACGGAAAGGCUCCUGCUUGCAGGGGUACUCGAGUGGCGAACGGGUGAGUAACACGUGGGUGAUCUGCCCUGCACUUCGGGAUAAGCCUGGGAAACUGGGUCUAAUACCGGAUAGGACGAUGGUUUGGAUGCCAUUGUGGAAAGUUUUUCGGUGUGGGAUGAGCUCGCGGCCUAUCAGCUUGUUGGUGGGGUAAUGGCCUACCAAGGCGUCGACGGGUAGCCGGCCUGAGAGGGUGUACGGCCACAUUGGGACUGAGAUACGGCCCAGACUACUACGGGAGGCAGCAGUGGGGAAUAUUGCACAAUGGGCGCAAGCCUGAUGCAGCGAAGCCGCGUGGGGGAUGACGGCCUUCGGGUUGUAAACUCCUUUCGCUAGGGACGAAGCGAAAGUGACGGUACCUGGAGAAGAAGCACCGGCUAACUACGUG
rnacentral:rRNA from 1 species